GAUGAACGCUGGCGGCGUGCCUAACACAUGCAAGUCGAACGGGGAGCUUAUUUCGAUAGGCUUCCAGUGGCGAACGGGUGAGUAACACGUUGGUGACCUGCCCUAAAGUGGGGGACAACUCCUCGAAAGAGGCGCUAAUACCCCGGAUGUCUGAGCGGUUAGAAGGCUCAGACUAAAGUUUUUCGGAAUGCUUUGGGAGGGGCCUGCGGGCUAUCAGCUAGUUGGUGAGGUAAAGGCUCACCAAGGCGAAGACGGCUAGGGGGCGUGAGAGCGUGACCCCCACCAA
rnacentral:rRNA from 1 species